rnacentral:rRNA from 1 species
GACGAACCGUGCGAACGUUGUUCGGAAUCACUGGGCUUAAAGGGCGCGUAGGCGGGCUGCCAAGUCUGGGGUGAAAUCCCACGGCUCAACCCGUGGAACUGCCUUGGAUACUGGCGGCCUCGAGGGAGGUAGGGGCAUGCGGAACUGUGGGUGGAGCGGUGAAAUGCGUUGAUAUCCACAGGAACUCCGGUGGCGAAGGCGGCGUGCUGGACCUCUUCUGACGCUGAGGCGCGAAAGCCAGGGGAGCAAACGGG